GGAUCGUAUCCAGGGUUUCUGCUUAAUAUUAAAGCCUGGGAUGUCCUUGACGACAUAGCGACUAUUGCCCAGACUUUUUGCGAUAAGGUAAGGCCCCUUAUAAUUUGGUUUGAGCUUUGAGCUCGUACCUAUUUUGGGGGCAGUGUCCCUUAUCAAAACGUACUCCCCUGGUUUAUAUCGCGUUGGCUUGAUACUGUGAGUAUCCUUGUAUUCUUUAUUGUACGCUCUUACAAGAUCUGUUGCUCGUGAAGCAUUGUCUCUAUUAAUAUCUCUCUCUUUUUCUAGGUCCUCAUCGACGGUGACAAGGGCCUUGGUGAAAUUGGCUAGAGAGUGAUCCGAAUGGCUGCGUUGGUCAAAACCUAACAUUAGUUUUGCUGGACUUGAUUUAGUCACAGCGUGUUUCCUGCAGUGGACCGAAGUGGUCUACAUGCAACGUAUUUAACGGAACCUUGGGCAAAGGAUGCAGUUGAGUUUCCCUUUCGAACCUGUUAAGCGCGUUAUUGGCUGUAAGACAGGAUAUUCGAAUCCGCAAGCUGAAGGAACUCAAGGCGUCUCUCCAGCGGAAGUUCGUCUAUGUGCGCGACGCUUCGACUAAGCGCGUCUACAUGUGCCAUGCGACUACCUGGACGAUGUAUGAUGUCGAACGAGUAAUUUUGCAGCGCGAGAGUCCAUCGCGCUAUUCGCGGAUUUAGCUCGUAGCUGUGAUACCUGCUCUCCGCUGCGUUCGUGCCUUGACUAAAAUACGCAACCGGACCCCAGGAAUUAUCGCGUCGCUGGAGAAGGAUCGCUCCGAACCCUAAGCAACAUGCGUCUGUGUGUAACUGGGUUUCGGCCGCCGGAUCGUACAGUCUCAGCAACGGAGUGGAGGUACGACCCGCGCGCAAUAAGGCGAGACGCUCGGCCUAAUAAUACCUCGCUCUAGGAGGUCGUCUGUGAUUUGCCGGAUCUGCGUUCGCUCUACAUUCGCGAAGCGCCUGGGUGCGAACGCAUAGAUCGACGGAUCUCUCAAAUGUACGUGCACUGAGAAGUCGUCGUUUACAGAAAUCAACGGAUCGUCGACGGUCGACUUGCACGCUUCCUGUGUUGCCGCCACGAAAUCGGAUGCUACCUCAUCCGCGGUCACGCUGGCUGCCGUGAUUCCCGAUGCAGGCUGCGCCCUGGUCGCCGCCUUCGACUCCUUUUUCUUUAAUGCGGGGCAAUCAAACCGACGAUGCCCCUUCUCUUUACAAUAGAAACAAGUGGUCUCACCUUUACAGUCCUUGUGGGAAUGCCCUCUUUUACCACAAUUUCUGCAGGCUGACUCCUUGCCUCCCUUGCUGGACUGACCCUGCUGCGCUGGUUUCCGGUCCCACUCGGAGGCGCCCUGAGUGAUACGCCGCAUCCUCUCCAGGAAGCCGUCCACCGUGUCCUCCGAUAGUGACAGCGCGGUCGCCUUCAAAGUGGUGAUGGUGAUUCCGCUCACCAGCAGAUGUACCUUGUCCGCUUCGGGAAGGUCCACUCGAUGCAGCAUUGCCAGUUUUUCUAUGGCAUAAUCGUCGAAGGUUUCCUUUGCAGGAAGCCAUUUUCGUGCCUCUAUUUUCUGCAUUACACGAAAGAACGGAAUUUUCCGGUCGAAAAUCUUAACUAACUCUGUUCGCAGGCCGCUCCAGGAUUCCACCGCGGCGUCUCCCUGCACGUCGUACCACCGGCGAGCCGAUUUGGUGAGGCGGCUGGAGGCUGCUAAGAGAAUCGCCCCGUCUGAGACGCUGUGGACCUGGGCGACUUUGUCCACCCGUCGGACCCACGCGUGCACGUUAUCAUCCUCUUGGCCCGCGAAUUCCGGGAUUUGUGAAGCCAGUGCCUGGAUUGAACCUGUCGGUGUCCAGGACUCCGCCGUCCGACGGUCCACGUCGUCCGUCGGUGACACUCUCGGGGCCCUAGAAGGACCCGGCGGAGAGACAGACUCCGCAUCUAGUGGCAGAACCGGGACAGCGGCGGGCUCUCGUCGCUGCUCCAUCACUAAGUUAAGUAGCAUGUUCAAUUGUUGCUGCUGCUGCUGCUGCUGCUGUUGCUGCUGCUGGAUAGACACCAGCAUCUGUCUCAUCAUUUCUGUCAUUUCCAGAGACUCUGUGGCCGUCGCCGAAGUUUCUGACGACCCUGCGGCCCUAGCCGGUGCCGCCUUUUUAUUCUGGGGCCUGCUUGGAGGUGCUGCUAGCUGAGCCAACUCCUUGACCGGCCCGUGCCGCUCUAGAUGACUCAUAAUUGAGUCCACCAAGUGGCUACGGCCUCCCGUUGUCGGGAGAGCGUAUUUAUCUGCUUCCUCGCGAAGCUCCUCCAUCGUGAGGUUUUCCAGAGCGGCUCUGUCCAUUGUAAUUCGCGCGCGUGUCCGCAUACACGAUUCUAAUCGAGCGAAUAAAUCGACACUCUGUUUUAAGACAAAAA